rnacentral:rRNA from 1 species
AUUGAACGCUGGCGGCAGGCUUAACACAUGCAAGUCGAGCGGAGAUGAGGUGCUUGCACCUUAUCUUAGCGGCGGACGGGUGAGUAAUGCUUAGGAAUCUGCCUAUUAGUGGGGGACAACAUUCCGAAAGGAAUGCUAAUACCGCAUACGCCCUACGGGGGAAAGCAGGGGAUCUUCGGACCUUGCGCUAAUAGAUGAGCCUAAGUCGGAUUAGCUAGUUGGUGGGGUAAAGGCCUACCAAGGCGACGAUCUGUAGCGGGUCUGAGAGGAUGAUCCGCGACACUGGGACUGAGUCACUGCCCAGACUCCUACGGGAGGCAGCAGUGGGGAAUAUUGGACAAUGGGCGGAAGCCUGAUCCAGCCAUGCCGCGUGUGUGAAGAAGGCCUUUUGGUUGUAAAGCACUUUAAGCGAGGAGGAGGCUACCUGGGUUAAUACUCUAGGAUAGUGGACGUUACUCGCAGAAUAAGCACCGGCUAACUCUGUGCCAGCCGCCGCGGUAACAC